rnacentral:rRNA from 1 species
GACGAACGCUGGCGGCGUGCUUAACACAUGCAAGUCGAACGGAAAGGCCCUGCUUUUGUGGGGUGCUCGAGUGGCGAACGGGUGAGUAACACGUGAGUAACCUGCCCUUGACUUUGGGAUAACUUCAGGAAACUGGGGCUAAUACCGGAUAGGAGCUCCUGCUGCAUGGUGGGGGUUGGAAAGUUUCGGCGGUUGGGGCUGGACUCGCGGCUUAUCAGCUUGUUGGUGGGGUAGUGGCUUACCAAGGCUUUGACGGGUAGCCGGCCUGAGAGGGUGACCGGCCACAUUGGGACUGAGAUACGGCCCAGACUCCUACGGGAGGCAGCAGUGGGGAAUAUGGCACAAUGGGCGGAAGCCUGAUGCAGCAACGCCGCGUGCGGGAUGACGGCCUUCGGGUUGUAAACCGCUUUCGCCUGUGACGAAGCGUGAGUGACGGUAAUGGGUAAAGAAGCACCGGCUAACUACGUG